GAGGAAUAGACCCGAUUGUUAAAAAUUUUGUACCGAGUUUUGAACAAGCCGGCUUAGGAAUCGGGACAGGUCGAAGGUUCGAUCACACUAUCCGAAGGACUCUUUUUGGUAAAUGGCUUGUAAAACUUAAGUAUGGCAUGUAUAGCAAUACACCUAUUUUGUGUAAAUAAUUUUGUGAUAUGGCCAUGAUUUGGUUGAGAAAAUGCUUAAUAAUGAUAAGUCAUGGAAAAUGCUAAGUUAGAUCA